rnacentral:rRNA from 1 species
GACGAACGCUGGCGGCGUGCCUAAUACAUGCAAGUAGGACGCAGUUGCGAACGGGUGAGUAAAGCGUAGGUAACUACAUAUUAGAGGGGGAUAACUAUUGGAAACGAUAGAUAAUACCGCAUAAUAGUAGAUGGACCUGCGUUGUAUUAGCUAGUAGGUAGGGUAAUGGCGUACCUAGGCAACGAUACAUAGCUGACCUUAGAGGGUGAUCGGCCACACUGGGACUCAGACACGGCCCAGACUCCUACGGGAGGCAGCAGUAGGGAAUCUUCGGCAAAGGGGGGAACCCUGACCGAGCAACGCCGCGUGAGUGAAGAAGGUUUUCGGAUAGAAAAGCUCUGUUGUUAAGGAAGCGGUACUUAACCAGAAAGGGAAGGAUAACUACGUGCCAGCAGCCGCGGUAAUUC